rnacentral:lncRNA from 1 species
UCUCAAUUUUCAACUUCAACUCUAUGCCUUGAGUUUACAUACCGACCUUUCAAGUAGAUUGUUUCCAUAAGGGUACCUGGCAUUAUGAGAAGUGGGUUGUCGUCAAAAACUUGAAUUUCAUGGUAGUUGUCUGAGUAAAGGUAAUUCGUUAAAUUACGUGUAGGUAAUUUAAUUUGGGUGAUGAUGACUAUAUAUAUAUAUUUAUUAUUUUUUCGAUUUUAAACUUGUGGAACAUGCUAUUUACUUAAAGAUGAGUAGACGAUUCAGAGCUAUUAUCCAUUACAAUGAUUAAAUUUGUGAGACUGAGGUUGGGCCCAUUUUUGUAUCAGCCCAAUCUGAAGAUCCGCCAUUCAAUUGGAGCAUAACGUUAAAAGAACUUCGAGCAAGGAUUAGGCACAAAGUGGGGAUCCGCAGAAGAAUUUCGAGCCUAAAAUGUAGAUAUCUAACGUAAUUCAACCCCGUUAGAUAUGUCAUUUUUUAGAUCACCAGGAAUAACGAGUUGGAGACGGUGAUUGAAUCCUAUUGCUCUAGUGGGAAUGCUGUACUAGAGUUAUAUGCUGACUUCGUCGAAGAGGACAAAGGUGGCCUGAUCUCGAUUACACCAUGUCCUCCAAAUUCCACGGCAAAUCAAGAAGCAAAAAGUCCGACCACACGGUUGUGUGGUGGAUUCACAUCAUUGCUACAAAACUCAUACCAAGACACCAAGGAAUCGUUCGACAUUCAUCAGUUUUGCCCCUUGGUUACAACUUCAGGGGAAUAAAAUAAAAUCGAAGGGUUCAGAGAAAAAUUUUAAAAAAAUUUAAGAAUUGAGAAUUUUGAAUAAAAAAUCAAGAAUUAACAAUUGAGAAUAAAAAAAAUUUGAGAACUAAAAAGUGAGAAUUGAUAAUUGAGUUG